AACCUAAUAGUAGAACGUCCAAGACCGGUAAUCACCUUUUUUAAUAUUGAUCAAGUCUUAGGUAAUUAUUCUAAUGCGACUUGAUAAAACUUAUGCCAUUUAAUCGUCUACACAUGUCUUUAUCAGCAUAAAAUUUUAAAAAAUGACCCGAGUUAUAUAAAAGCCGGUCACUAGAUUAAAACAUCAAUCGUGGGUGAAAAUGGCCCACAAUCCAAACCUUUUCGAGUUAAUAAAAAUGUUCAAAAUUAGAGACCCUUUCGCAAUAUUAAAAAUCAUCCUAAAAGCUGAACCUUUCAUUCUACUUAAAUGGUGUUUUAUCGACUUGAGUUACCACAAGUUUGUAAAAAUCUGCAACGUGUUGGCACUAAUUAUUCACUCGGUGUAUUUCGUAUUCGACGUUUUGUACACAAUUGAGAAUUUCUCGUUGGAUUUUUUGCUAAAAUACAGCUCAUCCAUGUUGAUUUAUAUUUAUGUAAGUCUGAAGUCUCACAUGGAAAAUUUCACAAUGAUUACAACAGGUUAUAACUAACAUGGUUUUUGCCAUGGUUAUGGAAAAAUACACUCUUGAGAUGGUAAAUUUGUCCGAGUCUGAAUUUUGGCCGAUGGAUUUCGCUGGUAAACGGAUGGAGGCAGAGAUUGGCCGAAAUUAUUUAAUGACAAGGAUUGUUUAUUAUUUUCUUGGGGGCGCUUUGUUGGCGUCAAUGCUCAUUUUGCUCCCGUUUUUUGGCGAUUUGAACGACUGGUUGUUGAGUUCGCAAAUGUCGGUGGAUUAUUUCGGAGAGUGGUCAGUGCUAGUGGACUUGAUUCUUUUUUCCACUGGGCCUAUGGUGGCACUUAGCGAAAUUCGCGCCCCUGCUGUAUUUCUCUACGGCAUUUACAAAAUCGAUUUGCAGAUUUUUCUGCUCAAUAAACUAAUCGUCCAACUAUCGCACGAAAAAGCCAGGGAUGAUGCCAAGUACCAGAGGAGAAUUUUCGCAAAGUUGCGGCAGUUUACCAAACAUCAUGCCAACUUGAAAAAAUGUAUGAGGGGGAUUUCCGAUAUCAUGAAUCUGUCAAUGCCGGUGUUUGUUUUUAUAGGAGCCCCUGGUGUAAUUUCAAUUAUGUAUUAUUUUCUUUAUGUAAUUGUCGAAAUUGUUUGUUUUUUUUUGAUUACGAAUUAUUUCAGAGUCUUGAUUCUGCAAGCACUAUUACGAAAAUUCGGUCAGUGUAUGUGGCCGUGUUCACAAGUGUUAUCGUGGCCACGUUUGCUCACGCUGGUCAGAAAAUCAGUGACAAUACAAGUCUUAUUUUCGAUACUUUGACCACUUGUCCGUGGAAUCUUUGGGAUAAGAGAAACAGAAAGGUUCUUUUAAUUUUUAUGGCGAAUUCUGUAAAACCGAUGACUUUUUCGGUGGCUGGGAUUACGGUGGAUUAUCAGUUUGCGAUUAAAGUACGUUAUGGAAGUUGGGGUUUUGUAAUGUUUGAAUUGUUUCAGAUGAUAAAACUUAGUAGUUCGUAUGCUUUGGUCUUGUACCAGCUGAAAAAUCAGUAUAAUAUGAAUUAGUGGAUUUUUUGCAAUCCUGUUCAGGGCAUUAGCUUGUAGGAUGGAAAUUAGUGUGCUAUUUGAAAUAAUAAUACUGCAAGUUAUAGUGUUUUAUUUUUUAUUAAUAUUUUGUUUAAGUUACAAAGACAAAAAAAAGUGGUUAGCUAAAAAUGGUGGAU